rnacentral:rRNA from 1 species
GAGUUUGAUAUGGCUCAGAGCGAACGCUGGCGGCAGGCCUAACACAUGCAAGUCGAGCGCCCCGCAAGGGGAGCGGCAGACGGGAGAGUAACACGUGGGAACGUACCCUUCAGUUCGGAACAACCCAGGGAAACUUGGGCUAAUACCGGAUACGUCCGUAAGGAGAAAGAUUUAUCGCUGAAGGAUCGGCCCGCGUCUGAUUAGCUAGUUGGUGGGGUAAUGGCCCACCAAGGCGACGAUCAGUAGCUGGUCUGAGAGGAUGAUCAGCCUCACUGGGACUGAGACACGGCCCAGACUCCUACGGGAGGCAGCAGUGGGGAAUAUUGGACAAUGGGCGCAAGCCUGAUCCAGCCAUGCCGCGUGGAUGAUGAAGGCCUUAGGGUUGUAAAGUCCUUUCGGCGGGGACGAUGAUGACGGUACCCGCAGAAUAAGCCCCGGCUAACUUCGUGCCAGCCGCCGCCGUAAC